rnacentral:rRNA from 1 species
UACGUAGGGCGCAAGCGUUGUCCGGAAUUAUUGGGCGUAAAGAGCUCGUAGGCGGUCUGUUACGUCCGCUGUGAAAACCCAGGGCUUAACCCUGGGCUUGCAGUGGAUACGGGCAGACUAGAGGCAGGUAGGGGAGAAUGGAAUUCCCGGUGUAGCGGUGAAAUGCGCAGAUAUCGGGAGGAACACCGGUGGCGAAGGCGGUUCUCUGGGCCUGACCUGACGCUGAGGAGCGAAAGCGUGGGGAG